AUGAAGUGUCAGUUCUAAGUUACUAUAAAAUUAACAGAAUCAGUUCUCCAUGGAAGGCAUUGUGUCUCUAUGUAGGUACUUGAGCCUUACCAGCCCUGUGUCUCUGCAGUGCGUCCAGCCACCUGUGGCCUUCUGGUGACUGGCUGUUCUUCUCAGACUUUGCCUAAUCUGUGGGUUUCAGCAUCUCUCCACGUGUAAUAGUUGCUAAAUCUUCACAUUCUGUCCUUGCAGCUUCUCAGCUUAUAUUAAACUGACCACAUGAUGAAGUCUGUGGUCACGUGCACCUAGAAAUGUGAGUUAUUGCACUGGUUGGUGUAGAGUGUAAAGAGACAUGUUCUGCUCAGAUCCUUGUGCUGUAGCUGUAAGUAGGGAGUUCUGCUUGUGCUUGGUUAAGAGCAGAUAAGCAUGCUGGUACCUUUGAAGAUGAACUGCAUAUCGUGCUAAUUUUCACGUAUGCAGAAAUUUGCUUUUUAGGAUGUUAUUCCCAAUAAUAGAUAAACACAAAGUUCAAGCUACGUACUAUCCAGAAUACUAUAUAAGGGGAAACUGCAGAGAUGAGGAAGAAAGUUUGGGGCUCUGCUGUAGAAGGAAGAAAUGCUAUGGAGAUUUGGGGUGGGUAGGGUGGAUAUCAUGAAAAACAUUUUCAUGAUGAAAAUCAUGAACUGAUUGAAUUGAAUUACUCAAGGAAAGCAUGGAGCCACCUUGAGUAGAAAGAGUUUAGACAAAUACCUGUCAGAAAAACUUGAUUAGGAGGGAAAAGAUCGUAAGGAAGAUAUUGUUGGUUUCAAAUGUAAUGGUUUUGUUGUUAUUGUUUUUUGACUUGGGGAAAAAAAAAUAGACUCUUUUUGAUGCUUAAGGCAGGAUGCCAAUUUGCACUUUGCUUCCCCUUGCACCUAAAAAUAUGACUCAGCUGACUCUGGUAAUGUAUUUAAGCCCUGUGAUUGUGUUGUGGUAACAACAUGUGAUAUUCUUAACCUUUUUCUGUCUGCUGAACUGAAAAUGGAUAAUACCAAUUUCAAUUAUAGUACUGUCUUAUUCUUUCAUGACUGUUUCCAGGCACGUUCUGUAUGUACAUGUUGUCUGUUGCCAAGUACAGUUACUGCACAAUUUACAAGGGUCUUUUGUCGGAGUUGUACAGAGGUAUUGCUGCUGAGUUGUUGUUUUAUUUUUUUUUUAAGGCUCUUUGAGAGACAAAAGGGAAUACAUGACAAAACCUGUUAUUGACUGCUAAUGACUGGUUGAGGAAAAUAAGGGAUGUUGAAAAUGAAGCGUGGAGGAAGGAUAUACUGGAAUCAGUGGAACUAGAACUGUGCUUCUCUGUGAUCUAUUGGACUUUAGAUACACCAGCAUCAUCUCAUCGUUCAUACCUGCCAUGCAUUCUGGUAAUCUUCUUUACCUUGGGACUGUGCUUGGUCUUGUAGAAUCCGGUAAUAUAGAUUUCUUUCUUUGGAUCCAAAGCUGUUGGAAGAAGAAGUCCUGACAGCCCCAUGUUGAGCAAAGCAGAAUUUGUUGAGAAAGUUCGACAGAGCAACCAGGCUUGCCACGAUGGUGACUUCCACACAGCAAUCGUGUUGUACAAUGAGGCCUUGGGAGUUGAUCCUCAGAACUGCAUUCUGUACAGUAACCGUUCAGCAGCCUACAUGAAAAUCCAGCAGUAUGACAAGGCCCUGGAUGAUGCCAUCAAAGCAAGACUUCUAAAUCCUAAAUGGCCAAAGGUAAGAAAGUGUAUCACUCUAUCAAGAGGAACUUCAUCAGGAUUAUUUCUCAUACUAAUAACCUAAUGUAGAGAACUGCAAAUAUUUCUGGGUUAACGUCUGCUUUUACUAAAAGCUGUAGAUAACUUUUUGUGUUCAAAAGUUGUUUAACUUGAAUUUCCUGCUGGGUUAUUAAACUUUUUUUGUGUGAGGUGCAAUACUGUCUUACUACUUUAAACCAGCAUCGUUUCUGAGUUGUGAAGACCAGGCAUCUUUUAACAGUAACUUAGCUGUAAGUUGCAUCCAGGAGCAUUCUGUUGCAAUGUGGCACGGAGGUCAUUAGUAAUAAUGGAGCAAUAAAAUCUUUGCAAUAGUGUUCUAAGAGUUUUUGUGUAUGUGAUGGAUAAACACUUUAAGAAAUGUGCACCUCAGUGUACUUGGCAAAGUCUGACCAUGCAAGGAAAUGUUUUGUAAAGAGUAGAUGGUGUUGAUUACCUGUUCCUUCCGGGAUUGUUUCCCACUGGCUGAUUUUGAUUGCUUCAGUGACUCUGACUGUCUAGCUAGCUAACUCAGGGUCUGCCCUUUACAUGCUAAUCCAUUU